UUAGUGGCGGACGGGUGAGUAACGCGUGGAAAACCUGCCGUAUACUGGGGGAUAACACUUAGAAAUAGGUGCUAAUACCGCAUAAGCGCACAGCUUCGCAUGAAGCGGUGUGAAAAACUCUGGUGGUAUACGAUGGUUCCGCGUCUGAUUAGCUAGUUGGUGGGGUAAUGGCCUACCAAGGCAACGAUCAGUAGCCGGCCUGAGGGGGUGAACGGCCACAUUGGGACUGAGACACGGCCCAAACUCCUACGGGAGGCAGCAG
rnacentral:rRNA from 1 species